AGGACCUCACAAAAUAUCUGAUGUUGGGUAUGAGAUGAAAUUAGAAGGGAGAUGGGAAGAACUCAGUGCCUGAAUACUUGGCCUCAUUUUUGACCUGCAUCUCUCCUCUGAACUGGAUGUCUGUCCAAAAGACAGAGCCAAGAAAAAGGUUCUCGUCCUAGCCUUGGCUUCUUCACGUGGCAGUCUCAGGGCAGCAAGAGAGGAUAGUUCCCAAAGGGACCUGCUGGCCAAUAUUUAGAACAUAAUGUUAUGAUCUUGGAAGGAACACAUGGAAACUUCUAGUUCAACUCUGCCAUUUCAGAAAUAACGAAGGUGAAGCCCA